rnacentral:rRNA from 1 species
AAAUUGUAUGUUUAGCUUUCUUCAUUUUUAUUUUUUAAAAAAAAUAAUUAAAUUUUUAGUAUAAAUUAGAAAUAAUUAAAUGAGCUAUAUAUAUAACUGUAAAGGUUUAAUUUUAAUUUUUUAUAAGAAAUUUUUGUUUAAUGUACCUUUUGUAUCAGGGUUGUCUAAUUAAAAAAUAUGUAUUUAUUUUUCCCGAAAUUUAGAGAUAUAUAUGAAUUUGAUUUUUAAAGUUUCAUAUUUACAAUUAAAAUUUAUAUAGAUGUUAUAUGCUUUUCAAUCUAGUUAUAUCUGGUUAUCUUUUAAUUAAUUUAAUUAUAAAUCCAUAUGAUAAAAAUAAUAUAUAUAAUUUUUUUAUAAGGAUUUAAUUUAUGGGGGGAUAAGCUCCUAUAUUUUUUUAAAAUUUUUAAUUUAUUUCAGUUAAAUUAGGAUUGAUAUUUUUCUUUUAUAUAUUUUUAUAAAAAAUACUGUUUAUAAAAUAAUUUUAUUUAAUUUAAAAUUUUAAAGGAUUUUUAAAAUAAAUUUUAGUUUUUAAGUGAAAAUGGGUGAAUUAGUAAAAUUGUAUAUUUAAUUUAAUAAUUCAGCAAAAAUUAUUCUCGACUGUUUAUUAAAAACUUUUUCUUUUGUUUAAAUAAAAGAUAUGGCCUGCUCAAUGAUUAUUUAAAUAGCUGCGGUUUAAUCGUGCUAAGGUAGCAUAAUAAUUUGUCCUUUAAUUAAGGUCUAGUAUGAAAGGUUGAACGAGGAAUAGACUUUUUUAAUUAAAUUAUUUUAAAUUUUAAUUGUUGGUUAAAAUGCCAAUAUAAAUUUAUGGGACGAUAAGACCCUAUAGAAUUUUAUUUAAAUAAGACUCUUAUGAAAAUAAUUUUUAAUUGUUUUAUUUAAAUUUGGUUGGGGUGAUUGUUAGAAUUUAUUAACUUUAACUUUUAUAAUUCAUAAAUUAAUGAUUAUUGACCCUAAAUUUUGGGUUGAAAGAUUAAAUUACCUUAGGGAUAACAGCGUUAUUUUUUUGGAUAGUUCUUAUAAAUAAAAAAGAUUGCGACCUCGAUGUUGGAUUAAAAUAAAACUUUGGUGUAGGAGCUAAGGGAUUAAGUCUGUUCGACUUUUAAAAUUUUACAUGAUCUGAGUUAAAACCGGCGUGAGCCAGGUUGGUUUCUAUCUAUAAAUUUAGGUUUAUAUAAUAGUACGAAAGGACCUUAUAUAUCAAUUAAUUUGU